UCGCAAGAAUUCUAAUAGCGUUCGAAGGUCGACCGAAAGCGGAAAAGUAGUUCGCCUAACGAUCGAUGGCGAGCUUUCCCGAUAAAAAGACAACGAACGGACGAUCCGUCGUUUAUUUACACAAGAUGGUUGCUAUUGUCUUUCAUAGAUCAUCAAUUGAUCUAUUUUUAUUUUUUAACGAUCAUCAAGAACACCAAGGCUUCUAAUGUGUUCUAACGGAGAUCUAAAUUAUUCAAUUCUUAACUCGGAGAAUCUAAACUUCAGGAGAGUAUCAGGAAAAUCCUAAACUUCGAAAAUAAGUCUCAAACAUCAUUGACCAAAGAAACUUUCAAACUAAAUUAUUCUAUACCGUAGGAAAAACCAAAGUAUUCCCGGAAGUCUCGAAACAAACUAUCAAGAGUCGAGACAACGAUUUUCCAUUUUCCAAUCGGUAUUUCCCUGAGUCGUCACCGACACGGGAACCGAACCGGAGGCGACACUUCCGGAAGAUCAGCUUGUCGCUGGGAGGAGUGCCAGUACGAGCUCGAAGGGAUGAGAGAAAAGACGAAGAAGGAGGGCAAAGACCGUGUCGAGAAGGAGGUCACCCGGAUUUCGAGCGGUCUUCUCUCUACUCACCAGAAAGCGAACCGUAUCUCAAGGUUACAAUGGUAUAAAAAAACCAUCUAACCUAAUUGAAUUCGCACCCUAUGAGUACAAUAUGAAGAGCAAUUAAAGGGACGACAAAGUGGACCGGGAGGCUCUCUGAAAAUGUUCACCUUCCUCAAAGAAAUCGCACUGAAAGCGCAGAGAGGCCAAAAGACAAACGGAAGAGAGCCAGAUGGCUGGCUCGACGUUGUAAAAGCUCGAGCAAAGGAAUUGCUUUGACUUCGAUCACGUUAGCCAUGGACUAGCCAUUUCCAGUACAACGUUCGAGAAGGACCGUGAAAGUUUUCGCCGAAAUAGGAGAUGUUCGACGCGUUCGAAGAAAGCAGGCGUUUCGUUUCAAAAGCGUCGCACGCCGAUCGAUCGACCUUCCCACCUUCCUUGAAACAGGAACGCGUUUUCGGGCUCACCUUGCACCUGCGAGAAGGCAAAGGGCAAGGGAGAUUGAUAGGUCGAUAGAUGGGUGGGUAUAGGGUGGAGAAUUGGGAUAGAAGUGGUGGUAAUGAAUGGAAAUAUUUCAGAAUAUUUCUCAACAGAAAUAUAAGAUGAAGACUAUUGAUAUUAAUGCGUCAGUUGCGUUUUGCUAAUUAUAGUAAUUAUUACAACAAUGUUAGUAAUGCUAGUGGUGCGUGUUUACUGUGGCAUGUUAAAUAUUCAUUAGGUUUCUAUUAAGAAAAAAAGAGAAGAAACUUUGGUGCAGCGUACAGAUACAGUAGCAGAUAAAAGAGAGUUUAAAGCUGUUAAAUAAUUUAUUUGUGUAUACGCACAUAUUAAUAACUUUUAUAUUAGAUAUUUUCUACUAUGUUGCUGGCAGUCACAUAGAUUAUAUGUAUAGGGUAUACAUAUAUAUUUAUUCACUACUCUUGUCAAAUGCAAUACUGUGUCUUAAAAUUAUCCUAUUUUUUAUACCCGCACUUAUACCCAUUUAAACUUUCUCUUGCUGGCUAUAUAUAGAGUAAGCUAUAAAUUCUCCUGCAUUACGGUAGCAAGUUUG
rnacentral:misc_RNA from 1 species